UGCUUUGAUUCUUCCCACUAUCAGUGUAC
rnacentral:piRNA from 1 species